AUGUCUUGGCCUUUGAUUAAGAUCAAGUGUAGUGCUGUCCUUAUCAGUUUAAUAUCUGAUAUGAUCAUUUGUAUAUCUAUAUUUUUUUCAAGAAGGAUCAGAAUGAGUGGAUCCAAUAGUGAGAGAGGGAGGCGCCAAUAUUUU
rnacentral:snRNA from 1 species